AUACAUAGGCAGGCGACACCGCGUGCACGCCCUCCGCCUCCCCAAUCCGUCCCGUCUCCUCGCCCGCCGCCCUCGACUCUCGUCUCCUCGCCUGCCGCUGGCGCCGAUCUCCAUCCUGCUAGCAGAGGCGGCGCCGGCGUCCUCCUCCUGCUCCCGCCGCAUUCGCUCACCGGUGAGCAUCCUAAUCCAUCCCAUCCGGCCUCGGCCUCGGCCUCGAAUUUCGUCUCCUCGCCCGCCGCUUGCGCCGAUCCCCAUCCUGCGAGCAGAGGUGGCGCCCGGCGUCCUCUUCUAGCUUCCACCGCAUCGUCGCUCGCCGGUGAGCAUCCCUCCCUACCCACACCUCAUCAGGUAUUCUGCGUUAUCCCUCAAAAAGUUUGGGGGUUCAACCGAAACAGGGAUUAUACUGGCAGUAUUGCACUGUCCUCGCCUUCUCCGGUGAGCUCUCUUCCGCCGUCUCGUCCCUUCUCCGAUGAUCUCGCUGGCUGUUCCGGCGAUAUACUCGUUGACCUCCCAGUUUCCCAGUGCCACCACGCACGCCAGGGCGCCUUCCCGAUGCGCGUGCGCGUGCGUGCCCCAGUCGGCAAGUAG
rnacentral:lncRNA from 1 species